rnacentral:rRNA from 1 species
UGUUUGAUCCUGGCUCCCGACGAACGCUGGCGGCGUGCUUUAUACAUGCAAGUCGAACGAUGAAGUUACUUCGGUAAUGGAUUAGUGGCGAACGGGUGAGGAACACGUGAAGAAUCUGCCCCUCAUUUUGGGAUAACUUCGGGAAACCGAGGCUAAUACCGAAUAUUGAAACAUAAGUGGCAUCACUGAGUUUUGAAAGUUUUUCGAUGAGGGAUGACUUCGCGGCCUAUCAGCUAGUUGGUGAGGUAACGGCUCACCAAGGCAACGACGGGUAGCCGGCCUGAGAGGGCGAACGGCCACACUGGGACUGAGACACGGCCCAGACUCCUACGGGAGGCAGCAGUAGGGAAUAUUGCGCAAUGGAGGAAACUCUGACGCAGCGACGCCGCGUGCGGGAUGAAGGCCUUCGGGUUGUAAACCGCUUUCAGUAGGGAAGAAGCGAAAGUGACGGUACCUACAAAAGAAGCACCGGCUAACUAUGUG